rnacentral:lncRNA from 1 species
CGCAGAUCGUGUUUCCCUUGCUCAGAAUUGCUCCACAGAGCCGGCGAGGGAGCUCCAGCUAUGCCUGCCCACGCUUCAGGCAUGGUGGGAGUGCAUGGUCUCGCAUACAAAGGCUGGAUGGAAGACUUUAAAAAGCCAAUGCCCUGUUCCUGCUGGGAGCUGCGGGCAUGCAGAAUCCUACCUAUGUUUGAGAGUGAGGAAAGAGGAGUGCCUUGCUACCUCUGAGACUGAAAGAUAACCAUGCAAGAAACAUUGAGAAAAAUGCAGAGGAAGAUCAAUGCUUCAGUAAUUUGAACAUUUUAUUAAAGCAAGAGAAAUAUGCACCUGUACUGUCAUUUUAUACCUAUCUGAUAAUGUAGAAUGAGAGGAGAGUCCAGAAGAGAAAAGUGGAAAUGGCUCCUGUCUGGCAUUUCUAUACCAUCCCCUGUAAUGUGGAGAAAAUCCUUCUUAACUUUAGUAUCUCUUGGCAGAACAUGGUCACUGCAGAGGCCUCUUAAGUGAACUCAGCUCUCAUAUUUUAGUAGUACUAGAGUAUGCCAUGUGGGUUUUUUUCAUGGGGCCACCAGAAAUAUUUCUCCAGUGGUAGGAAAAAAAUAAUUCUCUCUUUUGCUUUUUUUUUUUUUUUUCUGUUUAAGCACAGGGCUUAAAGAUCCAUGAAUGACACAUGAGGCCAAACAUAGACUGUUUUCUUCUUUUUUUCUUUUUUUUUUCUUUUCCCUAAGUACCCUUUAAGCUGAAUUUUUCCAAAAGGAAACACAUAAAAUGAAGCUGAAACAGAUGUCUGGCACAGGUAUUUUCAAUUCAGUUUGUUAGAGUCUGAUAGGGCUAUAAACAACAAAAACCAGUGUUUCCCUUGACUAAUACAGUCAACCUUAACAUCAGAAAGUCAAGUAACUUUGCUCAUAAUCGUAAUAAGGAACUACUGACUGCCCAACUAUUACAUUUUUGCUGAUAAUACUAAGUUAUAAUAGAUAAUUAGAGUUAUCAAGAUGGGCAGCUGUUUCUUUGGAUGAAUACUGCCCUUUAAUUUUUUUUAAUUUAGGUAAGAUACCAAAAAUGUUACAAAUGAGUAGUCAUUCAUUAUAUAAAGCAGCAGCUGAGCGGUAGGUGGAGGAAUGGCUGCUUGUUCCUACUCCUAAGCAAACGCACGUUCAGCUUCAUUUUUUAAAAUUAAUUUUAUUUUGAUGGUAAAAAAGGGGAUCUCUAAUGACACAGAGAGUUUCAACUGGCAAAU